GCUGAUAUGGCUCAGUUGGUAGAGCGCACCCUUGGUAAGGGUGAGGUCUGGCGCUUAUACCCAUCUCCGCGCCC
rnacentral:tRNA from 1 species